rnacentral:rRNA from 1 species
AGCAGCAGCCACGGUAAAACGAAGGGUGCAAGCGUUACUCGGAAUUACUGGGCGUAAAGCGUGCGUAGGUGGUGGUUUAAGUCCGUUGUGAAAGCCCUGGGCUCAACCUGGGAAUUGCAGUGGAUACUGGGUCACUAGAGUGUGGUAGAGGAUAGUGGAAUUUCCGGUGUAGCAGUGAAAUGCGUAGAGAUCGGAAGGAACAUCUGUGGCGAAGGCGACUAUCUGGGCCAACACUGACACUGAGGCACGAAAGCGUGGGGAGCAAACAGGAUUAGAUACCCCUGUAGUCCCUGUCUCUUAUAA